CUCUUGCCCCGGCACCGCAGCGCCCCCUGCGGGCGGCCCCGCCUCAGCGAAGGGGAGCCGUUGAGCCCGCGUUCCUGGCGCGAACGCUAUGAGGCCGAGCCGCGCCUCCCUGCUCGCCCUGUGCGUCCUCCUCUGCCUCCCCGGGGUCCAGCCUGGAGUCAUGAGGAGAGCCGCCGACCCGAAGCCCGGGUAUUGCCCCGAGUUCUUCCCCGAGUGCCCGUUCACGCUGUUCCCUUCGUGCCGGCGCGAUCAGGGCUGCAGGGGGGCCAAGAAGUGCUGCUUCUACCAGUGCCGGCGCCAGUGCAUGGAGCCCUGGCUGUCGCUGGACUGAGGUGGAAACCCCUUGCCACGCGGGCCUGAGACGCUGGUGCUGCAGGCUCAGACGUGGACAGCUGGUCUCCGGUGCUUGGGUGCCCGCCCAGCGCCAGGACUUCAGUUUCUCAAGAGUUAAAUGCUUGUUGAUGUGGAAAAUGAAACAGAGAAAUAAAGCAGUGUGCAUUAA